rnacentral:rRNA from 1 species
CCUACGGGAGGCAGCAGUGGGGAAUAUUGCACAAUGGGGGAAACCCUGAUGCAGCGACGCCGCGUGAGUGAAGACGUAUUUCGGUAUGUAAAGCUCUGUCAGCAGGGAAGAAAAUGACGGUACCUGACCAAGAAGCACCGGCUAACUACGUGCCAGCAGCCGCGGUAAUACGGAGGGGGCCAGCGUUAUCCGGAUUUACUGGGGGUAAAGGGAGCGUAGACGGCAGGGCAAGUCUGGAGUGAAAGGCGGGGGCUCAACCCCCGGACUGCUCUGGAAACUGCCAGGCUGGAGUGCAGGAGAGGUAAGUGGAAUGCGUAGUGUAGCGGUGAAAUGCGUAGAUAUUAGGAGGAACACCAGUGGCGAAGGCGGCUUACUGGAGUGUAACUGACGUUGAGGCUCGAAAGCGUGGGUAGCAAACAGGAUUAGAUACCCGAGUAGUC